GUGCCAGCAGCCGCGGUAAUACAGAGGGUGCAAGCGUUAAUCGGAAUUACUGGGCGUAAAGCGCGCGUAGGUGGUUCGUUAAGUUGGAUGUGAAAUCCCCGGGCUCAACCUGGGAACUGCAUCCAAAACUGGCGAGCUAGAGUACGGCAGAGGGUGGUGGAAUUUCCUGUGUAGCGGUGAAAUGCGUAGAUAUAGGAAGGAACACCAGUGGCGAAGGCGACCACCUGGACUCAUACUGACACUGAGGUGCCAAAGCGUGGGGAGCAAACAGAUUAAAUACCCUUGUAGUCC
rnacentral:rRNA from 1 species